AUUGCUUCUCGGACUUUUGGCUAAGAUCAAGUGUAGUAUUAAUUCUGCUAACCUAGGACCAGGAAAGGACUUUCUAUCUUCU
ensembl:snRNA Gm22850 predicted gene, 22850